AGUGAACGCUGGCGGUAGGCCUAACACAUGCAAGUCGAACGGCAGCACAGUAAGAGCUUGCUCUUACGGGUGGCGAGUGGCGGACGGGUGAGGAAUACAUCGGAAUCUACUUUUUCGUGGGGGAUAACGUAGGGAAACUUACGCUAAUACUGCAUACGACCUACGGGUGAAAGCAGGGGAUCUUCGUACCUUGCGCGAUUGAAUGAGCCGAUGUCGGAUUAGCUAGUUGGCGGGGUAAAGGCCCACCAAGGCGACGAUCCGUAGCUGGUCUGAGAGGAUGAUCAGCCACACUGGAACUGAGACACGGUCCAGACUCCUACGGGAGGCAGCAGUGGGGAAUAUUGGACAAUGGGCGCAAGCCUGAUCCAGCCAUACCGCGUGGGUGAAGAAGGCCUUCGGGUUGUAAAGCCCUUUUGUUGGGAAAGAAAAGCAGCAGGUUAAUACCCCGCUGUUCUGACGGUACCCAAAGAAUAAGCACCGGCCAACUUCGUG
rnacentral:rRNA from 1 species